rnacentral:tRNA from 1 species
GGAUUGAUAGCUCAGUUGGAUAGAGCACCCGCCUUCUAAGCGGGCGGUCACAGGUUCGAAUCCUGUUCAAUCCG